GCCGCGUGAGUGAUGAAGGUCUUCGGGUUGUAAAGCUCUUUUGUUCCGGAAAAACAAGUCCCUGGAUCUAAUACCUUCGGUGGGUUGACGGUACCGGACCAAUAAGCACCGGCUAACUUCGUGCCAGCAGCCGCGGUAAUACGAAGGGUGCAAGCGUUACUCGGAAUUACUGGGCGUAAAGCGUGCGUAGGCGGUUCGUUAAGUCUGAUGUGAAAUCCCCGGGCUCAACCUGGGACGUGCAUUGGAAACUGGCGAUCUAGAGUACGGUAGAGGGUGGUGGAAUUCCCGGUGUAGCAGUGAAAUGCGUAGAGAUCGGGAGGAACACUCGUGGCGAAGGCGGCCACCUGGACCAGUAACUGACGCUGAGGCACGAAAGCGUGGGGAGCCAAACAGGAUUAGAUACCCUGGUAGUCCACGCCCUAAACGAUGCGAACUGGAUGUUGGGCUCACUUCGGAGCUCAGUAUCGAAGCUAACGCGUUAAGUUCGCCGCCUGGGGAGUACGGUCGCAAGACUGAAACUCAAAGGAAUUGACGGGGGCCCGCACAAGCGGUGGAGUAUGUGGUUUAAUUCGAUGCAACGCGCAGAA
rnacentral:rRNA from 1 species